CCUACGGGAGGCAGCAGUGGGGAAUAUUGCGCAAUGGGCGAAAGCCUGACGCAGCGACGCCGCGUGAGGGAUGAAGGUCUUCGGAUCGUAAACCUCUGUCAGCAGGGAAGAACGGUCACUGUGCUAAUCAGCAGUGCAUUGACGGUACCUGCAAAGGAAGCACCGGCUAACUCCGUGCCAGCAGCCGCGGUAAUACGGAGGGUGCGAGCGUUAAUCGGAAUUACUGGGCGUAAAGCGCUCGUAGGCGGUAUGUCAAGUCAAGGGUGAAAUCCCCGCGCCUAACGUGGGAACUGCCUUUGAAACUGGCAAACUGGAGUGUGUGAGAGGAUAGUGGAAUUCCAGGUGUAGGAGUGAAAUCCGUAGAUAUCUGGAGGAACAUCAGUGGCGAAGGCGACUAUCUGGCACAUAACUAACGCUGAGGAGCGAAAGCGUGGGUAGCAAACAGGAUUAGAUACCCCUGUAGUC
rnacentral:rRNA from 1 species